rnacentral:rRNA from 1 species
UACGUAGGGUGCGAGCGUUAAUCGGAAUUACUGGGCGUAAAGCGUGCGCAGGCGGUUUUUUAAGUCAGAUGUGAAAUCCCCGGGCUUAACCUGGGAACUGCGUUUUGAACUGGCAAUCUAGAGUGUGUCAGAGGGGGGUAGAAUUCCACGUGUAGCAGUGAAAUGCGUAGAGAUGUGGAGGAAUACCGAUGGCGAAGGCAGCCACCUGGGAUAACACUGACGCUCAUGUACGAAAGCGUGGGUAGCAAACAGG